rnacentral:rRNA from 1 species
AAUAGAUACCCCGGUAGUCCACGCCGUAAACGAUGAGUGCUAAGUGUUGGAGGGUUUCCGCCCUUCAGUGCUGCAGCUAACGCAUUAAGCACUCCGCCUGGGGAGUACGGUCGCAAGACUGAGACUCAAAGGAAUUGACGGGGGCCCGCACAAGCGGUGGAGCAUGUGGUUUAAUUCGAAGCAACGCGAAGAACCUUACCAGGUCUUGACAUCCUCUGACAAUCCUAGAGAUAGGACGUUCCCUUCGGGGACAGAGUGACAGGUGGUGCAUGGUUGUCGUCAGCUCGUGUCGUGAGAUGUUGGGUUAAGUCCCGCAACGAGCGCAACCCUUGUCCUUAGUUGCCAGCAUUCAGUUGGGCACUCUAAGGAGACUGCCGGUGACAAACCGGAGGAAGGUGGGGAUGACGUCAAAUCAUCAUGCCCCUUAUGACCUGGGCUACACACGUGCUACAAUGGAUGGUACAAAGGGCUGCGAAACCGCGAGGUUGAGCCAAUCCCAUAAAGCCAUUCUCAGUUCGGAUUGGUA